GACAAAAGUGGAAAAGUUGGAGUGUCACCUUCAAGGCAGCCCUAUUGGGGCCAUGGAAUGUGAUGGGUGUGCUGGUCAGUGGUACCUGUGAAUGGCCCUAGUGCAGUUUGGGUUUGCUGGAGUGAGGGGGGAGGGGGAAGUGCUGGCCAGUGGUGUUGGGAGUGGGCCUGGUGUUGUUCUUGCCUACCGGGCGUAUUUUGAGAAUUGUGGGGUUGUUGGGGCUGCUGGGGUUUCCUGGGGUGUGGACACUCAUUCCUCCAGUGGCCAUGCUGGCCACAGUUGAAACAAGUGUUCCUGUCUAUUCCUCCUUGGUUACCUC